UACGUAGGGAGCAAGCGUUGUCCGGAAUCAUUGGGCGUAAAGCGCGCGUAGGUGGCCCGGUAAGUCCGCUCUGAAAGUCACAGGCUCAACCUGUGAAAGCGGGUGGAUACUGCCGGGCUAGAGUCCGGAAGGGGCGAGUGGAAUUCCUGGUGUAGCGGUGAAAUGCGCAGAUAUCAGGAGGAACACCAAUGGCGAAGGCAGCUCGCUGGAACGGUACUGACGCUGAGGCGCGAAAGCGUGGGGAGCGAACAGG
rnacentral:rRNA from 1 species